CCUACGGGUGGCAGCAGUGGGGAAUAUUGGACAAUGGGCGAAAGCCUGUUCCAGCCAUGCCGCGUGUGUGAAGAAGGCCUUCGGGUUGUAAAGCACUUUCAGUGGGGAAGAAAGCCUUGGGGCUAAUACCCUCGAGGAAGGACAUCACCCACAGAAGAAGCACCGGCUAACUCCGUGCCAGCAGCCGCGGUAAUACGGAGGGUGCGAGCGUUAAUCGGAAUUACUGGGCGUAAAGCGCGCGUAGGCGGUCUGAUAAGCCGGUUGUGAAAGCCCCGGGCUCAACCUGGGAACGGCAUCCGGAACUGUCAGGCUAGAGUGCAGGAGAGGAAGGUAGAAUUCCCGGUGUAGCGGUGAAAUGCGUAGAGAUCGGGAGGAAUACCAGUGGCGAAGGCGGCCUUCUGGACUGACACUGACGCUGAGGUGCGAAAGCGUGGGUAGCAAACAGGAUUAGAUACCCGAGUAGUC
rnacentral:rRNA from 1 species